rnacentral:rRNA from 1 species
CCUACGGGAGGCAGCAGUGGGGAAUAUUGCACAAUGGGCGCAAGCCUGAUGCAGCCAUGCCGCGUGUGUGAAGAAGGCCUUCGGGUUGUAAAGCACUUUCAGCGGGGAGGAAGGCGGUGAGGUUAAUAACCUCAUCGAUUGACGUUACCCGCAGAAGAAGCACCGGCUAACUCCGUGCCAGCAGCCGCGGUAAUACGGAGGGUGCAAGCGUUAAUCGGAAUUACUGGGCGUAAAGCGCACGCAGGCGGUCUGUCAAGUCGGAUGUGAAAUCCCCGGGCUCAACCUGGGAACUGCAUUCGAAACUGGCAGGCUAGAGUCUUGUAGAGGGGGGUAGAAUUCCAGUUGUAGCGGUGAAAUGCGUAGAGAUCUGGAGGAAUACCGGUGGCGAAGGCGGCCCCCUGGACAAAGACUGACGCUCAGGUGCGAAAGCGUGGGGAGCAAACAGGAUUAGAUACCCCGGUAGUC